AAUUUCAGCACUCCCCAUGAACCCUUCCCCCACACUGAGUGAUUCCAUAAACAUAUGGAACACAUAAUGCUGAGACUAGUAACAAGAAUUUAAUAUUCUCCUAAAUGCAAAUUUAACCCAGACCGGAUAUACCACUGGUAAUCAACGAAAAUGAGAUAACUACAGCAACACAACAAGAAAACCCUGUAAGCACUACCGUUAACCUAACACAAGAGCAUUUCAGGAAAGAUUAAUAGGAAGAGAAGGAAUUCAGCAAAUCACGGCCCCGCCUGUUUACCAAAAACAUCGCCUCUUGACAUAUAUAGGAGGUCCAGCCUGCCCAGUGACAUAGUUUAACGGCCGCGGUAUCCUAACCGAGCGAAGGUAGCAUAAUCACUUGUUCUUUAAAUGGGGACUUGUAUCAAUGGCAUCACGAGGGCUCUACUGUCUCCUCUCCCUAAUCAGUGAAACUGAUCUCCCUGUGAAGAAGCAGGGAUAACUCUAUAAGACGAGAAGACCCCAUGGAGCUUUAAACCCAACGGCAACCCAUUCAUAAAUUCCCCCAGAACCAAAAGGGAGAUGCCCAUCGGUUUUAGGUUGGGGCGACUGCGGAGUAAAAAUAACCCUCCACGACGAAAAGAAUAAAAUCCUUAUUCAAGAGCUACCCCUCUAAAAAUUAGCACACUAACGUAAAAUGAUCCGAUUAUCGAUCAACGAACCAAGUUACCCUGGGGAUAACAGCGCAAUCUACUUCUAGAGCCCCUAUCGACAAGUAGGCUUACGACCUCGAUGUUGGAUCAGGGCAUCCCAGUGGUGCAGCCGCUACUAACGGUUCG
rnacentral:rRNA from 1 species